rnacentral:rRNA from 1 species
CACGUAGGGCGCAAGCGUUGUCCGGAAUUAUUGGGCGUAAAGAGCUCGUAGGCGGUCUGUUGCGUCUGCUGUGAAAACUCGGGGCUUAACCCCGAGCCUGCAGUGGAUACGGGCAGACUAGAGGCAGGUAGGGGAGAAUGGAAUUCCCGGUGUAGCGGUGAAAUGCGCAGAUAUCGGGAGGAACACCGGUGGCGAAGGCGGUUCUCUGGGCCUUACCUGACGCUGAGGAGCGAAAGCGUGGGGAGCGAACAGG